rnacentral:rRNA from 1 species
CUUCCGUAAGGUGAACCUGCGGAAGGAUCAUUACCGAGUGCGGGCCCUCGCGGCCCAACCUCCCACCCUUGUCUCUAUACACCUGUUGCUUUGGCGGGCCCACCGGGGCCACCUGGUCGCCGGGGGACGCACGUCUCCGGGCCCGCGCCCGCCGAAGCGCUCUGUGAACCCUGAUGAAGAUGGGCUGUCUGAGUACUGUGAAAAUUGUCAAAACUUUCAACAAUGGAUCUCUUGGUUCCGGCAUCGAUGAAGAACGCAGCGAAAUGCGAUAAGUAAUGUGAAUUGCAGAAUUCCGUGAAUCAUCGAAUCUUUGAACGCACAUUGCGCCCCCUGGCAUUCCGGGGGGCAUGCCUGUCCGAGCGUCAUUUCUGCCCUCAAGCACGGCUUGUGUGUUGGGUGUGGUCCCCCCGGGGACCUGCCCGAAAGGCAGCGGCGACGUCCGUCUGGUCCUCGAGCGUAUGGGGCUCUGUCACUCGCUCGGGAAGGACCUGCGGGGGUUGGUCACCACCAUGUUUUACCACGGUUGACCUCGGAUCAGGUAGGAGUUACCCGCUGAACUUAAGCAUAUCAAUAAGCGGAGGAAU